rnacentral:rRNA from 1 species
AGAGUUUGAUCAUGGCUCAGAUUGAACGCUGGCGGUAGGCUUAACACAUGCAAGUCGUGCGAGAAAGUAUCUUCGGAUACGAGUAGAGCGGCGGACGGGUGAGUAACGCGUAGGAAUCUACCUAGUAGAAGGGGAUAGCCCGGGGAAACUCGGAUUAAUACCGUAUACCUCCUUUGGGAGAAAGAGGGCCUCUCUUUGAAGCUUUCGCUACUAGAUGAGCCUGCGUAAGAUUAGCUUGUUGGUGAGGUAACUGCUCACCAAGGCUACGAUCUUUAGCUGGUCUGAGAGGACGAUCAGCCACAUUGGGACUGAGACACGGCCCAGACUCCUACGGGAGGCAGCAGUGGGGAAUAUUGGACAAUGGGCGCAAGCCUGAUCCAGCCAUACCGCGUGUGUGAAGAAGGCCUUCGGGUUGUAAAGCACUUUAAGCAGGGAGAAAAAGUUGUAAGUUAAUACCUUACAACCGUGAUGUUACCUGCAGAAUAAGCACCGGCUAAUUCCGUGCCAGCAGCCGCGGUAAUACGGAAGGUGCAAGCGUUAAUCGGAAUUACUGGGCGUAAAGCGCGCGUAGGUGGUUUGUUAAGUUGGAUGUGAAAGCCCUGGGCUCAACCUAGGAACUGCAUCCAAAACUAACUCACUAGAGUACGAUAGAGGGAGGUAGAAUUCAUAGUGUAGCGGUGGAAUGCGUAGAUAUUAUGAAGAAUACCAGUGGCGAAGGCGGCCUCCUGGAUCUGUACUGACACUGAGGUGCGAAAGCGUGGGUAGCGAACAGGAUUAGAUACCCUGGUAGUCCACGCCGUAAACGAUG